rnacentral:misc_RNA from 1 species
AUGAAACGUUUGUCGAGAAGGGUUGUUGCUGGCCUCCAGGGGCAUGUGCACACCCCGAUCGCAUCCACCUCUCACACCUGUGCACAACCUGUAGCUUGGGAUGAUUACGGAACCCUUCGCGGGGUUACGAAUGCCCUUGCUAUGAAUAUUUUACACACACAUAAAGUUUAAUCGAAUGUAAAGUUAUAGCGUCUAAAAGCGCGACAAAUA